rnacentral:rRNA from 1 species
AUGGACGAAGUCUGACGGAGCACGCCGCGUGAGUGAUGAAGGUUUUCGGAUCGUAAAACUCUGUUGUUAGGGAAGAACAAGUGCUAGUUGAAUAGCCUGGCACCUUGCCGGACCCUAACCAAAAAGCCCCGGCAAACUACUGGCCACCGGCCCCGGAAUUACGUAGGUGGCAAGCGUUAUCCGGAAUUAUUGGGCGUAAAGCGCGCGCAGGU